rnacentral:rRNA from 1 species
UCCAGACUCCUACGGGAGGCAGCAGUGGGGAAUAUUGCACAAUGGGGGAAACCCUGAUGCAGCGACGCCGCGUGAGUGAAGAAGUAUUUCGGUAUGUAAAGCUCUGUCAGCAGGGAAGAGGAAAGACGGUACCUGACCAAGAAGCCCCGGCUAACUACGUGCCAGCAGCCGCGGUAAUACGUGGGGGGCAAGCGUUAUCCGGAUUUACUGGGUGUAAAGGGAGCGUAGACGGCAGGGCAAGUCUGGAGUGAAGGGCAGGGGCCCAACCCCCGGACUGCUCUGGAAACUGUCCGGCUGGAGUGCAGGAGAGGUAAGUGGAAUUCCUAGUGUAGCGGUGAAAUGCGUAGAUAUUAGGAGGAACACCAGUGGCGAAGGCGGCUUACUGGACUGUAACUGACGUUGAGGCUCGAAAGCGUGGGGAGCAAACAGGAUUAGAUACCCUUGUAGA